rnacentral:lncRNA from 1 species
AUGGUGCUGACUAUCCAGCAGUUGAAGAUAAACCUGAAGAACUAACAGUUGAAGAAAAACAUGAAGAACAAGCAAUUGAAGAGAAACCUGAAGAACCAGUGGCCACAGAGAAACCUGAAGAACCAGCGAUUAAGGAAAAAGCUGAUGAACCAGCAGUGCAAGAGAAACCUGAAGAACCAGCUGUGGAAAAGAAACCUGAAGAACCAGCAGUCGAGGAGAAACUUGACGAACCACCAGUUGAAGAGAAAUCAGAAGAACCAGUAGUUGAACAAACACCUGCAGGACCAGCAUGGGAAGAAACAUCUAAAGAACUAGCAUUUGAAGAGAAACCUGAAGAACCAGCAGUUGAAAAAACACCUGAAGAAC